GUACGCAACUUACCCUGAACUGGGGAAUAGCCCGGGGAAACCCGGAUUAAUACCCCGUAAUAUUAUGGAGUGGCAUCACUUUAUAAUUAUAGCUCCGGCGGUUCGGGAUGGGCGUGCGGCUGAUUAGGUAGUUGGUGUAGGUAACGGCUCACCAAGCCUGCGAUCAGUAACUGGUGUGAGAGCACGACCAGUCACACGGGCACUGAGACACGGGCCCGACUCCUACGGGAGGCAGCAGUAAGGAAUAUUGGUCAAUGGACGCAAGUCUGAACCAGCCAUGCCGCGUGGAGGAUGAAGGCCCUCUGGGUUGUAAACUUCUUUUAUAGGGGACGAAAUCAGCUAUUCUUAGUUGUCUGACGGUACCCUAGGAAUAAGCACCGGCUAACUCCGUGCCAGCAGCCCGCGGUAAUACGGAGGGUGCAAGCGUUAUCCGGGAUUCACUGGGUUUAAAGGGAGCGUAGGAGGGCGGGUAAGUCAGUGGUGAAAUCUUCAAGCUUAACUCGAAAACUGCCGUUGAUACUAUCUGUCUUGAAUACCCGUGG
rnacentral:rRNA from 1 species